GGGAAAAUAGAAGGUUUCAUGUG
rnacentral:siRNA from 1 species